CCUGGGCAGUUGGUGAGUGCACAUUGGACUCUUCUAGUGGAUGAACACUGAACUCUUCUAUCUCAAUACUAGGCUCCCUCGGAACAUUAUUAUUAUAAUACUCCCCCUGGGCACCAGAAUUUUCAAGCAUGCAUAGAGAGUCAGCCGGAAGAAGUAAUUCUGGUGUCCUAUUAUCAGAUAGACGACUUCCAUAAUAAGCUUCAGUUUCUCGAAAAGUAACAUCCAUAGUAACAAGCAUUCGCCGCUCAAGGGGGUAAUAGCACUUGUAUCUGUUUUGAGUAGCAGGAUAACCGACAAAGACACUUUAAUGCUUGUGC
rnacentral:lncRNA from 1 species